UAGGGGGCAAGCGUUAUCCGGUUUUACUGGGUGUAAAGGGAGCGUAGACGGCUGUGCAAGUCUGGAGUGAAAGGCAUGGGCUUAACCCAUGGACUGCUUUGGAAACUGUGCGGCUUGAGUGUCGGAGAGGCAAGUGGAAUUCCUAGUGUAGCGGUGAAAUGCGUAGAUAUUAGGAGGAACACCAGUGGCGAAGGCGGCUUGCUGGACGAUGACUGACGUUGAGGCUCGAAAGCGUGGGGAGCAAA
rnacentral:rRNA from 1 species